rnacentral:snoRNA from 10 species
AGCUGAAGAGCUGAUGUUCCCCUAAGGCUGAAGCUCUUAAGCU